AUACGGAGGAUGCGAGCGUUAUCCGGAUUUAUUGGGUUUAAAGGGUGCGUAGGCGGAUAGUUAAGUCAGUGGUGAAAAGCCAUCGCUCAACGAUGGUCGUGCCAUUGAUACUGGCAGUCUAGAGUUCCGUUGCCGUGGGAGGAAUGAGUAGUGUAGCGGUGAAAUGCAUAGAUAUUACUCAGAACACCGAUUGUGAAGACAUCUCACGAAGCGGCGACUGACGCUGAGGCACGAAAGCGUGGGGAUCGAACAGGAUUAGAUACCCUGGUAGUCCACGCAGUAAACGAUGAUGACUAACCGUUGGUUCAAACGGAUCAGUGGCCAAGCGAAAGCGAUAAGUCAUCCACCUGGGGAGUACGACCGCAAGGUUGAAACUCAAAGGAAUUGGCGGGG
rnacentral:rRNA from 1 species